rnacentral:rRNA from 1 species
AUGCGCGCUGGCGGCGUGCCUAAUACAUGCAAGUCGAGCGAACAGACGAGGAGCUUGCUCCUCUGACGUUAGCGGCGGACGGGUGAGUAACACGUGGAUAACCUACCUAUAAGACUGGGAUAACUUCGGGAAACCGGAGCUAAUACCGGAUAAUAUAUUGAACCGCAUGGUUCAAUAGUGAAAGACGGUUUUGCUGUCACUUAUAGAUGGAUCCGCGCCGCAUUAGCUAGUUGGUAAGGUAACGGCUUACCAAGGCAACGAUGCGUAGCCGACCUGAGAGGGUGAUCGGCCACACUGGAACUGAGACACGGUCCAGACUCCUACGGGAGGCAGCAGUAGGGAAUCUUCCGCAAUGGGCGAAAGCCUGACGGAGCAACGCCGCGUGAGUGACGAAGGUCUUCGGAUCGUAAAACUCUGUUAUUAGGGAAGAACAAAUGUGUAAGUAACUAUGCACGUCUUGACGGUACCUAAUCAGAAAGCCACGGCUAACUACGUG